UACGAAGGGGGCUAGCGUUGUUCGGAAUUACUGGGCGUAAAGGGCGCGUAGGCGGUGCCUCAAGUCAGGCGUGAAAGCCCCGGGCUCAACCUGGGAACCGCGCUUGAGACUGGAGUACUAGAGUUCGGGAGAGGAUGGUGGAAUUCCCAGUGUAGAGGUGAAAUUCGUAGAUAUUGGGAGGAAUACCGGCGGCGAAGGCGGCCUUCUGGACUAUUCCUGACACUGAGACGCGAAAGCGUGGGUAGCAAACAGG
rnacentral:rRNA from 1 species